AUUGAACGCUGGCGGCAUGCCUUACACAUGCAAGUCGAACGGUAACAGGUUAAGCUGACGAGUGGCGAACGGGUGAGUAAUAUAUCGGAACGUGCCCAGUAGUGGGGGAUAGCCCGGCGAAAGCCGGAUUAAUACCGCAUACGACCUACGGGUGAAAGGGGGGGAUCGCAAGACCUCUCGCUAUUGGAGCGGCCGAUAUCAGAUUAGGUAGUUGGUGGGGUAAAGGCCUACCAAGCCUGCGAUCUGUAGUUGGUCUGAGAGGACGACCAGCCACACCGGGACUGAGACACGGCCCAGACUCCUACGGGAGGCAGCAGUGGGGAAUUUUGGACAAUGGGCGCAAGCCUGAUCCAGCAAUGCCGCGUGCAGGAAGAAGGCCUUCGGGUUGUAAACUGCUUUUGUCAGGGAAGAAAUCCUCUGGGUUAAUACCUCGGGGGGAUGACGGUACCUGAAGAAUAAGCACCGGCUAACUACGUGCCAGCAGCCGCGGUAAAAC
rnacentral:rRNA from 1 species